UAAGUCACGUGCUUACAGUUGGUGAGGUGAUAUGUGUGAUCAUUCACCCCAUAGACCCCCUUCUGCACCCUCUUCACCCUACAAACCUUCCUCACCACCUUCCUCUCCACAUCAUCAACCUUCCUCACCUUCCCACCUCUCCUCCCUCUGCUCAUCUUCACCUCUCCCUGCUAUUCAUUUUUUUUUUUUCUCUCAACCUCCCUCUCUCCCACUAUCACCCAUCAUUCCUUCCCCUGACCACUCACCCUCACCACCACCACCACCUUCCUCUUCACAUUCACUCCCUCCUCCAUCUCCCGCGCCCCCUCAUCCGUCACUUUCACCCUCACCGCCACCAGCUGCCGAAAACAGGUUUGACUCGUCAUUCAACACUUAUACUUUGUGAACAACCUUCCAUCGCCACCACCCUCUGAUGAAGACUACUGAAUACGUAUGACGCACAAAACGUAUAGCCAGAUAAACGGCUCGCGGGGCCAAGGAGCCGCAGCGCCGAACCAGUAUUGAGCCGCACUCCUGACGAGCCUCAGUGUACCACUCUCCUAUCACGCACAUUAUCCAUGGCUGCUAAGGACGACUUCAGAUCCCUAGUAAUGUCUGUGAAGGAACCAGACGACAUUGAUGAGUACUUGGCAGACCCCCUGAUGCACCAGUCCAUGUUUGAUAAAAGAACGUCACCGUGGGAGAUGUCUUUGUGGAAUCAAGAUGAACUUCAAAAGUUCAGAAUAAACGUCCAGUGCAUCAAUCGCGUCUAUGAAGUUCAUUGCAGAACCGACCCUCGUUCUGCAGAAGGAGAAUAUAGCCUCCUUGCCCGAAUAAAGUAUAAGGAGAAAAAUUUAUUCGUGUCUUUAGAAGCUAAUUGUGACUCUUCAGGAUUUGAUUGUCAGGGUUAUGGUGAAAUAUACGUUUCUUUUGAUGCCAACAUUUUCUAUAAUACUGUUGUUUGUGAGGAACAGAAUAAGGAACGUAUAGCAGAUUUACUGCGCGAGGACAACUACCAUAUUACCAUACAACCUCAGUGUGGACUGGGUCGUGUAACCACGUGGCACAAUCCAUCCAGCCUGCUAUUGCUGUGUCACGAGGCCAUCAAGGAUAACAAACACCUCCUCGCCCAUUACUCCGACAUCUUACCCAAGAAGUUCAUCGAUAGCCUGGAAGAAUUUAUCAAAGUGAGGGAAGCGAUGGAAGAAUAUAAUAGGAUAGUAACCUAAUGAAGCUCAUCACAUAGAUUCAAUAAUUUGUUAAUCAAGCCCAUCUAUCCGGUGUGUACAUCCGCGCAUUGUAACACAUGUGAAAACUAUUGUGUUAUGAUAAAUAAAAAUAAAAUGAGGUGUA